CAUAAAAACAAAAACUUCAAUUCGCUUGCCAUCCUUUCUCUUAACUCUUUCUCUUCUCUUUCCCAAAAACCGUAGCUGCGUUUUUGCCUUGCUUCAUCGCCAUAUCAAUGGCGACAUCAUCAGCUUUCUCUUCACUCUCUUCUCUAUUGGAUCUGGCUUUGCCAAGAAGGUGAAAUCGAAAAGCAGUAAAGUCGAACGUGUUGCGGCCUGAUCUCCGGUUUACUUAGCCGCCGAACUUGUAGUGAGAAACGACGAGGAGCCGAGCAAGUUGUUUGGUGAUGUGAUGAUUGCAAAGGGAGGUUCUGAUUUCGUUUUGCUUCUAUGAAAAUUUCAGACAGAGACGGUCGUGUUUCCGGUAACGAUGCUACAAAGUUCUUCGCCGUGUCAAAGCUUUCUCGCCAGGAACUCAAACAGGUCUAUUAUAACUCAUACGAUUAGUUUUUAAGAUUUCAUGAAUCGAUGAGACUAGUGAGAAUACGAAUUGGAUUUUGAAGUGUGUAAUCCAGGGUUGAUUGAGAGAAUUGGUUGCGAUUUUGUAUUUGAAGGUUUGGGCUGUUGCGGAAUCAAAGCGACAUGGAUUUCUCGGUUUGGCGGAGUUCAUCAUUGCGAUGAAGCUCAUCUCAUUGGCACAAGAGGGACAUGAAAUUACUUCAGAUCUUCUAAAAGGUUUUGUUGACAUGAAGACUGUGGAACUUCCAUUGUUGGAAGGACUGGAAAACGUGGUAUCUUAGUUACUCAGCCACAAGUCACGGCAAAAGCUCCCUAGUACAAAUCAAAAUCUAUUAUUAAGCCAGCCACAAGUAACUUCCAUCUCAGAUUCUUUCACAAUUCUAAGUUGAUAAGACCUUAAGGUAUUGUGGAUUGCAAGGAUCAGUUCCUGAUUUGAGAAGGAUACAAGCAGAAGAAGCCUCACUUGGGAAACGAAUGGAAGAAGCCUUUUUUGCUGGUCCAUUACAGCCAAACCCAUUUUUUCUUACUUGUGUAAGAGUUACUUCUUGUUGUUUUCUUGAUCAGUGUUCUUUCUUUUUGUUAUCUUUUGUACUUGGGGUUGUAAUGAAUAUAAUGUUUAGUAAGAUGUGUUUUGUUAAUGUAAUACUAAUUGUAUGUAUUUUUAUAAUUGUUCAUAUACAAGAAUUAGAUGUAAA